rnacentral:rRNA from 1 species
AUUGAACGCUGGCGGCAUGCCUUACACAUGCAAGUCGAACGGUAACAGGUCUUCGGAUGCUGACGAGUGGCGAACGGGCGAGUAAUACAUCGGAACGUGCCUAGCAGUGGGGGAUAACUACUCGAAAGAGUGGCUAAUACCGCAUGAGAUCUACGGAUGAAAGCAGGGGAUCGCAAGACCUUGUGCUACUAGAGCGGCCGAUGGCAGAUUAGGUAGCUGGUGGGAUAAAAGCUUACCAAGCCGACGAUCUGUAGCUGGUCUGAGAGGACGAUCAGCCACACUGGGACUGAGACACGGCCCAGACUCCUACGGGAGGCAGCAGUGGGGAAUUUUGGACAAUGGGCGCAAGCCUGAUCCAGCAAUGCCGCGUGCAGGAUGAAGGCCUUCGGGUUGUAAACUGCUUUUGUACGGAACGAAAAGCCUUGGGUUAAUACCCUGGGGUCAUGACGGUACCGUAAGAAUAAGCACCGGCUAACUACGUGCCAGCCGCCGCCGUAACAC